AGUGAACGCUGGCGGUAGGCCUAACACAUGCAAGUCGAACGGCAGCACAGUAAGAGCUUGCUCUUACGGGUGGCGAGUGGCGGACGGGUGAGGAAUACAUCGGAAUCUACUUUUUCGUGGGGGAGAACGUAGGGAAACUUACGCUAAUACCGCAUACGACCUACGGGUGAAAGCAGGGGAUCUUCGGACCUUGCGCGAUUGAAUGAGCCGAUGUCGGGUUAGCGAGUUGGCGGGGUAAAGGCCCACCAAGGCGACGAUCCGUAGCUGGUCUGAGAGGAUGAUCAGCCACACUGGAACUGAGACACGGUCCAGACUCCUACGGGAGGCAGCAGUGGGGAAUAUUGGACAAUGGGCGCAAGCCUGAUCCAGCCAUGCCGCGUGGGUGAAGAAGGCCUUCGGGUUGUAAAGCCCUUUUGUUGGGAAAGAAAAGCAGCAGGUUAAUACCCCGCUGUUCUGACGGUACCCAAAGAAUAAGCACCGGCUAACUUCGUG
rnacentral:rRNA from 1 species